GGUUAAGCGACUAAGCGUACACGGUGGAUGCCCUGGCAGUCAGAGGCGAUGAAGGACGUGCUAAUCUGCGAUAAGCGUCGGUAAGGUGAUAUGAACCGUUAUAAC
rnacentral:rRNA from 4 species